CAAACAGUCACUCUUUUAAACUUCACAUUGUAAUUGGGAAGGAAACUUCACUGUCACACCGUGAUUAUAUAUUUCAAUCUUCAUCCAUUUUGGGAUACUCAGAUGAGAUAUUUGCACUUGUGUUUCUACAAGAGGAGAACUUUAUCUUAUGGAGACCUUCAGUGGUGGCAAGAACCACAUUUGUCUGGUAUUACUCGAGCCCAAGUAACUGGUCAUUUGCUACCCUGCUCAUGCUUGAAGAGGCAAUGCUAAGCUGUGAGAAUAAAUGCAGUGAAAGAUGCCUUGAAGUGUCUUGGAAAUAACUUCAAAGAGGCAGUCAACCUACAGAAGAGCAUCUGCUGGACCCUGAGUGGGGAACAGACAGGCGGAACCCUUGCAAAUGUAAAAGCUAGGAGUGGGUCGGACCCCAGAUGCAGAUGCAUUUGGAUUUAUUUAAGUAGAGCAAAUCCUUCAGCUCACUGUCCUUCUGUUUCUUGGGACUUCAGGAAUCCACUCCGUUGUGUCUGCAGCCAAGGAAAGGAGCUGGCCUGUCACCAGGAUAAAGCUGCUUCUCGUGGCCAUCAGGUUGCGUGACUGCAGAGGUUCAGGCUCUUGCUGCGGCCCUCUGAGCCAAACCAGAAAAUGGGGAAUUUAAUGGGAGACUGGCUAGCAUGAGACUUCAAG
rnacentral:lncRNA from 1 species